rnacentral:misc_RNA from 1 species
AUUCUCUCCAAAAAAUACUGUCCAUACACACCCACUUUCAGUGAGAGAGAGGGUGAGAGAGAGCGAGAGUGCUUGCCCGAGAAAUAGUAAGAUGGUGCAAAGCUCAACCAGAAGCAAAUGGUUCGCUUGUUCUGUUAUUCUCUUCUUCGCUUUGUUUGCUACUGCAAUAUUAGGACAAGAUGGAUUGGUGGCUAACGGUGAUUUUGAAACGCCGCCAUCGAAUGGUUUCCCUAGCGACGCCAUAGCGGACGGCUCCAUCGAAAUCCCCAGUUGGAAAUUAAGGGGCACAGUGGAGCUCGUCUCUUCGGGCCAAAAACAAGGUGGGAUGAUCCUCAUCGUCCCAGGUGGUACACACGCAGUGAGAUUGGGCAACGAUGCAGAGAUAAGCCAAGUAUUUACGGUGGAGAAAGGGUCUAUUUACUCGGUGACUUUUAGUGCGGCUCGCACGUGCGCUCAGCUGGAGUCACUAAACGUAUCAGUGCCACCUGCAUCACAAACAAUAGACUUGCAGACAUUGUACAAUGUGCAAGGGUGGGACCCUUACGCGUGGGCUUUUGAGGCGGAGGAGGAUCAAGCGAAUUUGAUUUUUAGGAAUUUGGGCAUGGAGGAUGAUCCCUCUUGUGGGCCUAUCAUUGAUGACAUUGCCAUCAAGAAGCUCUUUGCUCCUGAUAAACCCAAAGACAAUGCAGUACUAAAUGGUGACUUUGAGGAAGGUCCGUGGAUGUUUAGAAACGUUUCACUAGGGGUGUUGCUGCCCACCAACCUGGACGAAGAAAUCACUUCAUUGCCUGGUUGGACUGUGGAAUCCAACAGGGCUGUUCGCUAUAUUGAUUCCUACCAUUUCUCAGUUCCAGAAGGCAAACGUGCCAUGGAAUUACUCUCAGGCAAGGAAGGAAUAAUUUCCCAAAUGGUUGAAACAACGCCAAA